rnacentral:rRNA from 1 species
UACAGAGGUCCCAAGCGUUGUUCGGAUUCACUGGGCGUAAAGGGUGUGUAGGCGGUUGUUUAAGUUUGGUGUGAAAUCUCCCGGCUCAACUGGGAGGGUGCGCCGAAUACUGAAUGACUAGAGUGCGGGAGAGGAAAGUGGAAUUCCUGGUGUAGCGGUGAAAUGCGUAGAUAUCAGGAGGAACACCGGUGGUGUAGACGGCUUUCUGGACCGUAACUGACGCUGAGACACGAAAGCGUGGGUAGCAAACAGG